rnacentral:rRNA from 1 species
CCUACGGGGGGCAGCAGUGGGGAAUAUUGGACAAUGGGGGCAACCCUGAUCCAGUCAUGCCGCGUGUGUGAAGAAGGCCCUCGGGUUGUAAAGCACUUUCAGUGAGGAAGAACGCCUGGUGGUUAAUACCCAUCAGGAAAGACAUCACUCACAGAAGAAGCACCGGCUAACUCCGUGCCAGCAGCCGCGGUAAUACGGAGGGUGCGAGCGUUAGUCGGAAUUACUGGGCGUAAAGCGCGCGUAGGUGGCUUGAUAAGCCGGUUGUGAAAGCCCCGGGCUCAACCUGGGAACGGCAUCCGGAACUGUCAAGCUAGAGUGCAGGAGAGGAAGGUAGAAUUCCCGGUGUAGCGGUGAAAUGCGUAGAGAUCGGGAGGAAUACCAGUGGCGAAGGCGGCCUUCUGGACUGACACUGACACUGAGGUGCGAAAGCGUGGGUAGCAAACAGGAUUAGAUACCCCAGUAGUC